AUUUAAGUAAUUUAAAAUAAAAUAUUGAUUUGUGGUAUCAAUUAUGUAAUAAUUUACCUUAAAUU
rnacentral:tRNA from 1 species